CGGGUGAGUAAUGUCUGGGAACUGCCUGAUGGAGGGGGAUAACUACUGGAAACGGUAGCUAAUACCGCAUAACGUCGCAAGACCAAAGAGGGGGACCUUCGGGCCUCUUGCCAUCGGAUGUGCCCAGAUGGGAUUAGCUAGUAGGUGGGGUAACGGCUCACCUAGGCGACGAUCCCUAGCUGGUCUGAGAGGAUGACCAGCCACACUGGAACUGAGACACGGUCCAG
rnacentral:rRNA from 1 species